rnacentral:rRNA from 1 species
UGCCUUACACAUGCAAGUCGAACGGCAGCGCGGGAGCAAUCCUGGCGGCGAGUGGCGAACGGGUGAGUAAUACAUCGGAACGUGCCCAAUCGUGGGGGAUAACGCAGCGAAAGCUGUGCUAAUACCGCAUACGAUCUACGGAUGAAAGCAGGGGAUCGCAAGACCUUGCGCGAAUGGAGCGGCCGAUGGCAGAUUAGGUAGUUGGUGAGGUAAAGGCUCACCAAGCCUUCGAUCUGUAGCUGGUCUGAGAGGACGACCAGCCACACUGGGACUGAGACACGGCCCAGACUCCUACGGGAGGCAGCAGUGGGGAAUUUUGGACAAUGGGCGCAAGCCUGAUCCAGCCAUGCCGCGUGCAGGAUGAAGGCCUUCGGGUUGUAAACUGCUUUUGUACGGAACGAAACGGCCUUUUCUAAUAAAGAGGGCUAAUGACGGUACCGUAAGAAA